CACCACUUGGGGAUAACCUUGCGAAAGUAAGACUAAUACCCAAUGAUAUCUCUAGAAGGCAUCAGAAAGAGAUUAAAGAUUUAUCGGUGAUGGAUGGGGAUGCGUCUGAUUAGCUUGUUGGCGGGGUAACGGCCCACCAAGGCGACGAUCAGUAGGGGUUCUGAGAGGAAGGUCCCCCACAUUGGAACUGAGACACGGUCCAAACUCCUACGGGAGGCAGCAGUGAGGAAUAUUGGUCAAUGGGCGAGAGCCUGAACCAGCCAAGUAGCGUGCAGGAUGACGGCCCUAUGGGUUGUAAACUGCUUUUAUAAGGGAAUAAAGUGAGUCUCGUGAGACUUUUUGCAUGUACCUUAUGAAUAAGGACCGGCUAAUUCCGUGCCAGCAGCCGCGGUAAUACGGAAGGUCCGGGCGUUAUCCGGAUUUAUUGGGUUUAAAGGGAGCGUAGGCCGGAGAUUAAGCGUGUUGUGAAAUGUAGAGGCUCAACCUCUGCACUGCAGCGCGAACUGGUCUUCUUGAGUACGCACAACGUGGGCGGAAUUCGUGGUGUAGCGGUGAAAUGCUUAGAUAUCACGAAGAACUCCGAUUGCGAAGGCAGCUCACGGGAGCGCAACUGACGCUGAAGCUCGAAAGUGCGGGUAUCGAACAGGAUUAGAUACCCUGGUAGUCCGCACGGUAAACGAUGGAUGCCCGCUGUUGGCCUGAAUAGGUCAGCGGCCAAGCGAAAGCAUUAAGCAUCCCACCUGGGGAGUACGCCGGCAACGGUGCAACUCAAAUGAAUUGACGG
rnacentral:rRNA from 1 species